AGAGUUUGAUCCUGGCUCAGAUUGAACGCUGGCGGCAGGCCUAACACAUGCAAGUCGAGCGGUAGAGAGAAGCUUGCUUCUCUUGAGAGCGGCGGACGGGUGAGUAAUGCCUAGGAAUCUGCCUGGUAGUGGGGGAUAACGUUCGGAAACGGACGCUAAUACCGCAUACGUCCUACGGGAGAAAGCAGGGGACCUUCGGGCCUUGCGCUAUCAGAUGAGCCUAGGUCGGAUUAGCUAGUUGGUGAGGUAAUGGCUCACCAAGGCGACGAUCCGUAACUGGUCUGAGAGGAUGAUCAGUCACACUGGAACUGAGACACGGUCCAGACUCCUACGGGAGGCAGCAGUGGGGAAUAUUGGACAAUGGGCGAAAGCCUGAUCCAGCCAUGCCGCGUGUGUGAAGAAGGUCUUCGGAUUGUAAAGCACUUUAAGUUGGGAGGAAGGGUUGUAGAUUAAUACUCUGCAAUUUUGACGUUACCGACAGAAUAAGCACCGGCUAACUCUGUGCCAGCAGCCGCGGUAAUACAGAGGGUGCAAGCGUUAAUCGGAAUUACUGGGCGUAAAGCGCGCGUAGGUGGUUUGUUAAGUUGGAUGUGAAAUCCCCGGGCUCAACCUGGGAACUGCAUUCAAAACUGACUGACUAGAGUAUGGUAGAGGGUGGUGGAAUUUCCUGUGUAGCGGUGAAAUGCGUAGUUAUAGGAAGGAACACCAGUGGCGAAGGCGACCACCUGGACUAAUACUGACACUGAGGUGCGAAAGCGUGGGGAGCAAACAGGAUUAGAUACCCUGGUAGUCC
rnacentral:rRNA from 1 species